UCGUUUCAUUGUCAAUUAGUAACAAACAACAGUUAGGAUGGAUGUCAUCUUAUUCCCUUACCCGUUCUUGUUUAAACAACCCCAAAAUCCUCAUUCUUCUCGCAUUUGUCAUUCAGUGUUCUCUAACCCUAACCCUCACCAUCGCCGAAAGAUACCAACGAUUUGAUCUGUAAUAUAAUAUGUUUCAUUACCAAUUUCUAGGUUUUCGAUUUUUUCCUCUUUGUAUGGUUGUGGUUAACAGAAGUUAGGGUUUUUCAACAACAAUUUCAGUUCACUUCAAUACAUGUUUGUAUGGCUGUUUGUUUGUUUGAUUUUGAUUCUGUUUUUUGUUUUUCAGUUGCUACCCUAAGAGAAUAGAGUGCCUUGAUAACGAUUAUGGUUUGAUUUUUCUUUUAGCAGUUCAAUACUUCAGUACUAGGAAUAAUUGCUUUUUAUUCCCAUUUAUGAAACCCUUUUCUUUAUUUUUGCAUCAUAGAUUCCCAGUGGGUUAAAUCUGUUCACAAGCUUGAACAAGAAUCAGGGUUUUUCUUUAACAUGAAGUAUUUUGAAGAGGAAGUGCACAAGGGAAACUGGGAUGAGGUUAAGAAAUACCUUUCGGGUUUCACUAAAGUGGACGAUAAUCGCUAUUCGAUGAAGAUAUUUCUUGAGAUUAGAAAGCAAAAGUAUCCUGAAGCAUUGGAUAAGCAUGACAGGUCCAAAGCUGUAGAAAUUCUUAUAAAAGAUCUUAAAGUGUUUGCUUCAUUUAAUGAAGAUCUAUUUAAGGAGAUAACUCAGUUAUUAACUUUGGAGAAUUUUAGGGAGAAUGAACAAUUAUCCAAAUAUGGAGAUACAAAUCGGCUCGAGCUAUAAUGUUGGUUGAACUUAAGAAGUUAAUCGAAGCGAAGAAUCCUUUGUUUCGUGACAAAUUGCAGUUUCCAAACCUUAAGAAUUCAAUAUUAAGGACUCUCAGAAACCAAAGCUUUGUAAAAACUCGAGGCCAAAUCCCGAUAUCAAGACGUAUCUCAUCCAACGGUUUCCAAUAGUGUAAUUGGUCUCGAUAGUCCUUCUAUUUCAGUCUCCUACUUAUGUGGACCCCCUUAACAUCAUUGUAAUGGCAUGCCCCGCUCUUCCUCUUGGCCCUCUCGCCAUAACCGAAGCCGAGCGAGGAAUUACAGAUCUUCUUAAGCCGUGUUCGAAGUGUAUUUGAGAAGGUUGGUCUCCUAUAUAAUGAAUCGAUAGUAGUUAGUCACUGGUUUCCCUAAUGGCUGUGCUCAACCCUACAUGGACGAACUUGGAUUAGUUGGUAAUGGUCCUAAUAACUAUCAGGUUAAAAUCCAGGACCUUGAAAAGGUUUUCGAACCUUUAUUCUACAUCUGGAGAUUGAAGAGGAAAUCUAAAGAAUCAUUUGGCGACUUCACAAAUCGCGUGGCAAGACACAUAUCUGAAUAAAUAUUAGAGUGAAAUGGCAAAAUAGGGGAAUAUUGUCAACACAUAUAACAACAAAAGACAAAGGUCAAAAAGUUGAAAUGAACAGUGACACACCAGGAAGUGUUCAGCACUAACAGCAAGCAAAUAUCAAUUAUAAGGGACAAUAAGCAUUAAUGUCUUAUGAAAACCCUUGCACCAAAAAGGUUAGUACUCUCCAAACACAUGAAUCCAUACUCAUAUGCUCAAAAAAGGCUUCUCAAAAACUGAAAACCCUUUGCACCAAAAAGUAUAGUACUUUUCAACACCGGAAUUCAAACUCAUAUGCUCAAAAACAUGCUGCUCAAAAAUAGAGUAGUUGUCUUAUAUCCUCCACUCUAGAUAAUUCCGAAAAAAUUGAGGUACCACCCCUAUAUAAUCCAUGAAACCAUUUGGACAAUCACACUUAACUAUAUUCUUCAUUCUCUCUUUUUUAACAAAUGUCUAAACCGGAUACCCCAUCUGCUUCUGCAAUGUCAAAACAAGAAUUGCUCAUCGGCUGCACCAUUGCCUUCAAUGUAUGUGGUUAAUUACUAUUUUGGACCCUCUAAUUACAUUAUAAGCAUAUUUAUUAUCCAACAUGUAUCAUUUACUAAUGUAUAUGUUUGUUUGUUUUUUUGCCUUAACAACAUACCUCCAUCCGAGAUUACUUUCUUGAAGUAGUUACAUCCUUCAAGGUUAGAGUUUACCAUCAAAAUCCAUGUCCUAAGAGCAUGGAAUCGAAUGAGUUUCAAAAAUGAGAACGAAAUUUAUGCUCUUGAGAUGUUGGUGGUUGAUGAAAGGGUACUCGACGUCAAAGGACAUAUUUGAAAACUUUUCUAACAAAGUUUGGUCCCCUCCUUCAAGAAGGGUCUACUGUGAUAAUCAAAAAUCCUACUCUUGGGGACAAUCUCUCUUUGUUUAAAUACGUCGAUUAUCCUCACAAGAUAUGUAUUUAUUAUGAUUCUAAAGUCAUAAAAUGCAAUGAUUUUUUGGGUUAUGAUAAUGGGUUUUCAUUCACUCCAUUUUCUUCAAUUUUGGACAAAACAUCUCAGAAUACUCAACCCAUAGGUUAUUCAAAUUCAAAUAAAAAUUUACAUACCUUUUCUUUAA